rnacentral:tRNA from 1 species
GUCUCGGUAGUCUAAAGGCUUAGGACGCUCGCACGGAAUGCAAGAGAUCCGGGUUCGACUCCCGGCUGAGACA